rnacentral:rRNA from 1 species
AUGAACGCUGGCGGCGUGCCUAAUCCAUGCAAGUCGCGCGAACGGACGAGAAGCUUGCUUCUCUGAUGUUAGCGGCGGACGGGUGAGUAACACGUGGAUAACCUACCUAUAAGACUGGGAUAACUUCGGGAAACCGGAGCUAAUACCGGAUGAUAUUUUGAACCGCAUGGUUCAAAAGUGAAAGACGGUCUUGCUGUCACUUAUUGAUGGAUCCGCGCUGCAUUAGCUAGUUGGUAAGGUAACGGCUUACCAAGGCAACGAUGCAUAGCCGACCUGAGAGGGUGAUCGGCCACACUGGAACUGAGACACGGUCCAGACUCCUACGGGAGGCAGCAGUAGGGAAUCUUCCGCAAUGGGCGAAGGCCUGACGGAGCAACGCCGCGUGAGUGAUGAAGGUCUUCGGAUCGUAAAACUCUGUUAUUAGGGAAGAACAUAUGUGUAAGUAACUGUGCACAUCUUGACGGUACCUAAUCAGAAAGCCACGGCUAACUACGUG